rnacentral:rRNA from 1 species
CCUACGGGAGGCAGCAGUGGGGAAUAUUGGGCAAUGGGCGCAAGCCUGACCCAGCAACGCCGCGUGAAGGAAGAAGGCUUUCGGGUUGUAAACUUCUUUUAUGAGGGACGAAACAAAUGACGGUACCUCAUGAAUAAGCCACGGCUAACUACGUGCCAGCAGCCGCGGUAAUACGUAGGUGGCAAGCGUUAUCCGGAUUUACUGGGUGUAAAGGGCGUGUAGGCGGGACUGCAAGUCAGAUGUGAAAAUUAUGGGCUCAACCCAUAACCUGCAUUUGAAACUGUGUUUCUUGAGUACUGGAGAGG